GAAGCAGCCACCCUUUAAAGAAAGCGUAAUAGCUCACUAGUCGAGUCGGCCUGCGCGGAAGAUGUAACGGGGCUAAAACUAUGUGCCGAAGCUGCGGAUUUGACAUUAGUCAAGUGGUAGGGGAGCGUUCUGUAAGCCGAUGAAGGUGUAUUGAGAAGUAUGCUGGAGGUAUCAGAAGUGCGAAUGCUGACGUGAGUAACGACAAAACGGGUGAAAAACCCGUUCGCCGAAAGACCAAGGGUUCCAGUCCAACGUUAANNNNNNUCGGGGCUGGGUGAGUCGACCCCUAAGGCGAGGCCGAAAGGCGUAGUCGAUGGGAAAAUGGUUAAUAUUCCAUUACUUCUGUGUAAUGCGAUGAGAGGACGGAGAAGGCUAAAUCAGCCUGGCGUUGGUUGUCCAGGUGAAAGGAUGUAGGCAUGUAUCUUAGGCAAAUCCGGGGUACUCUAUGCUGAGAUCUGAUAGCAAGCUGUACUUGUACAGCGAAGUGGUUGAUGCCAUGCUUCCAGGAAAAGUCUCUAAGCUUCAGUUACACAGGAAUCGUACCCGAAACCGACACAGGUGGUCAGGUCGAGUAGACCAAGGCGCUUGAGAGAACUCUGCUGAAGGAACUAGGCAAAAUGGUACCGUAACUUCGGGAGAAGGUACGCUGUUGUUGGUGAUGGAACUCGCUUCCUGAGCUGACGACAGCCGCAGAAACCAGGCCGCUGCAACUGUUUAUUAAAAACAUAGCACUCUGCAAACACGAAAGUGGACGUAUAGGGUGUGAUGCCUGCCCGGUGCUGGAAGGUUAAUUGAUGGGGUUAGCGUAAGCGAAGCUCUUGAUCGAAGCCCCAGUAAACGGCGGCCGUAACUAUAACGGUCCUAAGGUAGCGAAAUUCCUUGUCGGGUAAGUUCCGACCUGCACGAAUGGCAUAAUGAUGGCGGCGCUGUCUCCAGCAGAGGCUCAGUGAAAUCGAAAUCGCUGUGAAGAUGCAGUGUACCCGCGGCUAGACGGAAAGACCCCGUGAACCUUUACUGCAGCUUGACACUGAACUUUGACCUUACUUGUGUAGGAUAGGUGGGAGGCUUUGAAGCUGGAACGCUAGUUCCAGUGGAGCCGUCCUUGAAAUACCACCCUGGUAAUGUUGAGGUUCUAACUCUGUCCCGUGAUCCGGGACGAGGACCGUGUCUGGUGGGUAGUUUGACUGGGGCGGUCUCCUCCUAAAGAGUAACGGAGGAGUACGAAGGUGCGCUCAGCGUGGUCGGAAAUCACGCGUAGAGUAUAAAGGCAAAAGCGCGCUUAACUGCGAGACCCACAAGUCGAGCAGGUACGAAAGUAGGUCUUAGUGAUCCGGUGGUUCUGUAUGGAAGGGCCAUCGCUCAACGGAUAAAAGGUACUCUGGGGAUAACAGGCUGAUACCGCCCAAGAGUUCAUAUCGACGGCGGUGUUUGGCACCUCGAUGUCGGCUCAUCUCAUCCUGGGGCUGAAGCAGGUCCCAAGGGUAUGGCUGUUCGCCAUUUAAAGAGGUACGCGAGCUGGGUUUAGAACGUCGUGAGACAGUUCGGUCCCUAUCUACCGUGGGCGCUGGAAAUUUGAGAGGAUCUGCUCCUAGUACGAGAGGACCAGAGUGGACGAACCUCUGGUGUACCGGUUGUGACGCCAGUCGCAUCGCCGGGUAGCUAUGUUCGGAAGGGAUAACCGCUGAAAGCAUCUAAGCGGGAAGCCUACCUCAAGAUAAGAUUUCCCUAGGACUUUAUGUCCUCUAAAGAGCCGUUCGAGACUAGGACGUUGAUAGGUUGGAUGUGGAAGCAUAGUGAUAUGUGAAGCUGACCAAUACUAAUUGCUCGUGAGGCUUGACUAUACAACACCCAAGCAGUUG
rnacentral:rRNA from 1 species